CUAGCGACUUCAGAGUUUGAUCCUGGCUCAGGAUGAACGCUGGCGGCGUGCCUAACACAUGCAAGUCGAGCGAACCCUUCGGGGUGAGCGGCGGACGGGUGAGUAACGCGUGGGUAACCUGCCCUGUACACACGGAUAACAUACCGAAAGGUAUGCUAAUACGAGAUAAAAUGUAAUGAUCGCAUGGUCGAUACAUCAAAGCUCCGGCGGUACAGGAUGGACCCGCGUCUGAUUAGCUAGUUGGUAAGGUAAUGGCUUACCAAGGCGACGAUCAGUAGCCGACCUGAGAGGGUGAUCGGCCACAUUGGAACUGAGACACGGUCCAA
rnacentral:rRNA from 1 species